AUUGAACGCUGGCGGCAGGCCUAACACAUGCAAGUCGAGCGGAUGAAGGGAGCUUGCUCCUGGAUUCAGCGGCGGACGGGUGAGUAAUGCCUAGGAAUCUGCCUGGUAGUGGGGGAUAACGUCCGGAAACGGGCGCUAAUACCGCAUACGUCCUGAGGGAGAAAGUGGGGGAUCUUCGGACCUCACGCUAUCAGAUGAGCCUAGGUCGGAUUAGCUAGUUGGUGGGGUAAAGGCCUACCAAGGUGACGAUCCGUAACUGGUCUGAGAGGAUGAUCAGUCACACUGGAACUGAGACACGGUCCAGACUCCUACGGGAGGCAGCAGUGGGGAAUAUUGGACAGUGGGCGAAAGCCUGAUCCAGCCAUGCCGCGUGUGUGAAGAAGGUCUUCGGAUUGUAAAGCACUUUAAGUUGGGAGGAAGGGCAGUAAGUUAAUACCUUGCUGUUUUGACGUUACCAACAGAAUAAGCACCGGCUAACUUCGUG
rnacentral:rRNA from 1 species